GCACAAGCAGCGGAGCAUGUGGCUUAAUUCGACGCAACGCGAAGAACCUUACCGGGGCUUGACAUGCAGGGAAAAGCGGCGGAAACGUCGUGUCCGAAAGGGCCCUGCACAGGUGGUGCAUGGGCUGUCGUCAGCUCGUGUCGUGAGAUGUUGGGUUAAGUCCCGCAACGAGCGCAACCCCUGUCGUAUGUUGCCAGCAUUUAGUUGGGGACUCAUACGAGACUGCCGGCGUCAAGCCGGAGGAAGUGGGGAUGACGUCAAGUCAUCAUGCCCCUUAUGUCCUGGGCUGCACACGUGCUACAAUGGCCGGUACAAUGGGCUGCGAUGCCGCGAGGCGGAGCGAAUCCCAUAAAACCGGCCCCAGUUCGGAUCGGAGGCUGCAACUCGCCUCCGUGAAGUCGGAGUUGCUAGUAAUCGCGGAUCAGCACGCCCGCGGUCGAAUACGUUCCCGGGCCUU
rnacentral:rRNA from 1 species